GAUGAACGCUAGCGGCAGGCUUAACACAUGCAAGUCGAGGGGUAUUGGUUUUCGGACCAAGAGACCGGCGCACGGGUGCGUAACGCGUAUGCAAUCUACCUUUUGCAGAGGGAUAGCCCCAGAGAAAUUUGGAUUAAUACCUCAUAGUAUAGUACUUUGGCAUCAAGGAACUAUUAAAGUCACAACGGCAAAAGAUGAGCAUGCGUCCCAUUAGCUAGUUGGUAAGGUAACGGCUUACCAAGGCUACGAUGGGUAGGGGUCCUGAGAGGGAGAUCCCCCACACUGGUACUGAGACACGGACCAGACUCCUACGGGAGGCAGCAGUGGGGAAUUUGGACAAUGGGCGCAAGCCUGAUCCAGCAAUGCCGCGUGCAGGAUGAAGGCCUUCGG
rnacentral:rRNA from 1 species